rnacentral:rRNA from 1 species
AACGAACGCUGGCGGCAGGCCUAACACAUGCAAGUCGAGCGAGGACUUCGGUUCUAGCGGCGGACGGGUGAGUAACGCGUGGGAAUGUGCCCUUCUCUACGGAAUAGCCCUGGGAAACUGGGAGUAAUACCGUAUACGCCCUAUUGGGGUAAGAUUUAUCGGAGAAGGAUCAGCCCGCGUUGGAUUAGGUAGUUGGUGGGGUAAUGGCCUACCAAGCCGACGAUCCAUAGCUGGUUUGAGAGGAUGAUCAGCCACACUGGGACUGAGACACGGCCCAGAAUCCUACGGGAGGCAGCAGUGGGGAAUCUUAGACAAUGGGGGCAACCCUGAUCUAGCCAUGCCGGGUGAGUGAUGAAGGGCUUAGGGUUGUAAAGCUCUUUCAGCUGGGAAGAUAAUGACGGUACCAGCAGAAGAAGCCCCGGCUAACUCCGUG